rnacentral:rRNA from 1 species
CCCUUAGAGUUUGAUCCUGGCUCAGGACGAACGCUGGCGGCGUGCCUAACACAUGCAAGUCGAACGAGUCCAGGUCUUCGGACCUGAGGCGAGUGGCGGACGGGUGAGUAACACGUGAGCAAUCUAUCCUGUUGCGGGGGACAACGAGGGGAAACCUUCGCUAAUACCGCAUGGUCGAGAACCUCGAUGGGGUUUUCGGGAAACGUGGCCUCUUAGCAAUGCUACGGCGAUGGGAGGAGCUCGCGGGCUAUCAGCUUGUUGGUGAGGUCAUGGCUCACCAAGGCGACGACGGCUACGGGGUCUGAGAGGACGACCCCGCACAUUGGAACUGAGACACGGUCCAGACUCCUACGGGAGGCAGCAGUGGGGAAUAUUGGGCAAUGGCCGAAAGGCUGACCCAGCGACGCCGCGUGUGGGAGGAAGCCCUUCGGGGUGUAAGCCACUGUCAGGAGGGACGAAAGAGUCGGGGGUGAAUAAUCCUCGGCAGUGACGGUACCUCCAAAGGAAGCACCGGCUAACUCUGUGCCAGCAGCCGCGGUAAUACAGAGGGUGCGAGCGUUGUUCGGAAUUACUGGGCGUAAAGCGCGCGCAGGCGGGUCCUGUAAGUCGGAAGUGAAAUUUCGGAGCUCAACUCCGAAGCUGCUUCUGAUACUGCGGAUCUGGAGAUCGGUAGAGGUCGGUGGAAUUACAGGUGUAGCGGUGGAAUGCGUAGAUAUCUGUAAGAACACCCGUGGCGAAAGCGGCCGACUGGGCCGAAUCUGACGCUGAGCGCGAAAGCGUGGGGAGCAACAGAUAGAUACCCUGGUA